GACGAACGCUGGCGGCGUGCUUAACACAUGCAAGUCGAACGGAAAGGCCCUGCUUUUGUGUGGUGCUCGAGUGGCGAACGGGUGAGUAACCCGUGAGUAACCUGCCCUUUACUUUGGGAUAACUUCAGGAAACUGGUGCUAAUACCUGCUAGGAGCUCCUGCUGCAUGGUGGGGGUUGGACAGCUUCGGCGGUUGGGGAUGGACUCGCGGCUUAUCAGCUUGUUGGUGGGGUAGUGGCUUACCAAGGCUUUGACGGGUAGCCGGCAUGAGAGGGUGACCGGCCACAUGGGGACUGAGAUAGGGCCCAGACGCCAACGGGAGGCAGCAGGGGGGAAUAUUGCACAAUGGGCGGAAGCCUGAUGCAGCAACGCCGCGUGCGGGAUGACGGCCUUCGGGUGGGAAACCGCUUUCGCCUGUGACGAAGCGUGAGUGACGGUAAUGGGUAAAGAAGCACCGGCUAACUACGUG
rnacentral:rRNA from 1 species